rnacentral:rRNA from 1 species
AUUGAACGCUGGCGGCAUGCUUUACACAUGCAAGUCGAACGGUAACAGGUUAAGCUGACGAGUGGCGAACGGGUGAGUAAUGCAUCGGAACGUGCCCGGUCGUGGGGGAUAACGCAGCGAAAGCUGCGCUAAUACCGCAUACGAUCUGAGGAUGAAAGCGGGGGACCGUAAGGCCUCGCGCGAUCGGAGCGGCCGAUGUCAGAUUAGGUAGUUGGUGGGAUAAAGGCUCACCAAGCCAACGAUCUGCAGCUGGUCUGAGAGGACGACCAGCCACACUGGGACUGAGACACGGCCCAGACUCCUACGGGAGGCAGCAGUGGGGAAUUUUGGACAAUGGGCGAAAGCCUGAUCCAGCAAUGCCGCGUGCAGGAAGAAGGCCUUCGGGUUGUAAACUGCUUUUGUACGGAGCGAAAAGGUCUCCUCUAAUACAGGGGGCUCAUGACGGUACCGUAAGAAUAAGCACCGGCUAACUACGUGCCAGCCGCCGCGGUAA